rnacentral:rRNA from 1 species
UACGGAGGGGGCUAGCGUUGCUCGGAAUCACUGGGCGUAAAGGGUGCGUAGGCGGGUCUUUAAGUCAGGGGUGAAAUCCUGGAGCUCAACUCCAGAACUGCCUUUGAUACUGAGGAUCUUGAGUUCGGGAGAGGUGAGUGGAACUGCGAGUGUAGAGGUGAAAUUCGUAGAUAUUCGCAAGAACACCAGUGGCGAAGGCGGCUCACUGGCCCGAUACUGACGCUGAGGCACGAAAGCGUGGGGAGCAAACAGGGA